GACGAACGCUGGCGGCGUGCUUAACACAUGCAAGUCGAACGGAAAGGCCCUGCUUUUGUGGGGUGCUCGAGUGGCGAACGGGUGAGUAACACGUGAGUAACCUGCCCUUGACUUUGGGAUAACUUCAGGAAACUGGGGCUAAUACCGGAUAGGAGCUCCUGCUGCAUGGUGGGGGUUGGAAAGUUUCGGCGGUUGGGGAUGGACUCGCGGCUUAUCAGCUUGUUGGUGGGGUAGUGGCUUACCAAGGCUUUGACGGGUAGCCGGCCUGAGAGGGGGACCGGCCACAUUGGGAUGGAGAUGCGACCCAGACUCCUACGGGAGGCAGGGGUGGGGAAGAGUGCACAAUGGGCGGAAGCCUAAUGCAGCAACGCCGCGUGGGGGAUGACGGCCUUCGGGUUGUAAACCGCUUUCGCCUGUGACGAAGCGUGAGUGACGGUAAUGGGUAAAGAAGCACCGGCUAACUACGUG
rnacentral:rRNA from 1 species